rnacentral:rRNA from 1 species
ACGGGGCCGCACAAGCGGUGGAGCAUGUGGUUUAAUUCGAUGAUACGCGAGGAACCUUACCUGGGCUCGAACGUAAGAUGACUGUAGGUGAAAGCUUACAUCUCUUCGGAGCAUUUUACGAGGUGCUGCAUGGUUGUCGUCAGCUCGUGCCGUGAGGUGUCGGGUUAAGUCCCAUAACGAGCGCAACCCCUACCUUUAGUUGCCAUCAGGUUAAGCUGGGGACUCUAAAGGAACUGCCUACGCAAGUAGUGAGGAAGGCGGGGAUGACGUCAAAUCAGCACGGCCCUUACGUCCAGGGCUACACACGUGCUACAAUGGCCGAUACAGAGGGCAGCUACCUGGUGACAGGAUGCAAAUCUCCAAAGUCGGUCUCAGUUCGGAUCGGAGUCUGCAACCCGACUCCGUGAAGUUGGAUUCGCUAGUAAUCGCGCAUCAGCCAUGGCGCGGUGAAUACGUUCCCGGGCCUU